rnacentral:sRNA from 1 species
CUGCUGGGGACAGAUGAAGUGGAUGUGGGUGUCGAUUCCCCCGGCCGUCAGGAUCUUGCCCUCCCCGGCGACGACCUCGGUUGUCACUCCCACGAUCAUCUGCGGAUCGACCCCGGCCAUUACGUCGGGAUUGCCCGCCUUGCCGAUGCCGACGAUGCGGCCACCCUUGAUCCCGAUAUCGGCCUUGAAGAUGCCGGUGUAGUCGAUGACCAGGGCGUUGGUGAUCAGCAGGUCCAGCGCGUCGGCCUGCGAGACGCCAGCGGCCUGUCCCAUGCCCUCGCG